ensembl:lncRNA
GCACGUCAGCUCUGUUUACCCCUCCUUUGUUGAAAGUGGGUGUUCAAGGGCAAUCCAUCUUCGUUGACAUUCAUCACCCUAGCAAAAAAAAGGUGGAGGGACUGGUGUUCGCUAUAGACCUCCUUCGGAACUUCUCUGGUCAGGAAGAUAAGGUGGCACAGAAAAUAUCAGCUGAUGGAUUUCACUUCUUUCACAAGCUUCCUGUAGAUCGCUACUGUGUAAACGUUUCGGUUGUUAACUACCUGAAAAAACAGUUUGCAGUGGAAUGCGUUGUCCUCCACGGGAAAGCAGAUGGGUGGCCCUGGGUGAUCGUGGCAACGGGUGUGUCUUUCCUUCUUGCUAUUCCUGUUGGACUGAUCCUAAUCAUUGUGUUGUGUUACUUGUGGCCCAGAUCAAACUACCUCAGAACUCCAGAAACUCUGAUAAUCAGAGUUAUGAAGCCAAAGGUGCUGGAGAUUGUCUCUGAAAAGACCAGCGCUAUGAUGGUCUGUGUGUUGAAAUAUGAAGAGAACAACAGAUCAGUGGACUAUGAAGUCAGGAGAGGUUUUACUUCAGUCAGGGACAUGAGCUUAGUUUGCAGUAAAGGGGCGAUCUGUCUGGCCCCUGAGGAAGAUGAUGACGUGUGUACUGGUGGCAUUCAUCACUCUGCUGAUUACGGGCUGGAACUGGACAGCAGUGAUGAGGAUACUCCAGUGACGGAAACACCAUUAUAUGCAGCUGCCUGUCUAUACGAGACGCAUGAAUGUUUCGAAAAUGGACUCUCAAGAGAGAUGGCGAGAUUGAUGGUUGAUGUACAGUUGCAGGACAAUGUCUCAUUAAACUCUUUAAACAGCCAGUCAACCAGGAGUUCAGAGAGCAUAGAGUCCACAGAGGACGCAACAGAGACGCCUUUGGACCGUUCAUUUAACUAUGAGCCUCGUCAUCUGAUCGCCUGGUACAACCGUGAUGAAGUUAGCCAGUGAGUUACUUGUUCAAAUGUGACACCUCUGGCAUUGCAUAUUCAGUUAGUGUUAUAAAUACACAUUUGAUGCUCCGGAAGAUCAAAUAUUAAAUGGUGC